UACGAAGGGUGCAAACGUUGCUCGGAAUUAUUGGGCGUAAAGCGCACGUAGGCGGCUUUGCAAGUCCCAUGUGAAAGCCCACGGCUUAACCGUGGAAGUGCAUGGGAAACUGCAGAGCUUGAGUACUUAAGAGGAUCGCGGAAUUCCUGGUGUAGCGGUGAAAUGCGCAGAUAUCAGGAGGAACACCGGUGGCGAAGGCGGAUCUCUGGGCCAUUACUGACGCUGAGGAGCGAAAGCGUGGGGAGCGAACAGG
rnacentral:rRNA from 1 species